GACAAACGCUGGCGGCGCGCUUAACACAUGCAAGUCGAACGGAAAGGCCUGCUUUCCCUUGUGGAUUGCGGGUACUCGAGUGGCGAACGGGUGAGUAACACGUGAGUGAUCUGCCCCCAACUUGGGUAUAAGCCUGGGAAACUGGGUCUAAUUCCCGAUAGGACUGCAGGGUGGUGCCUGUGGUGGAAAACGAUUUUCUAGUGGUUGGGGAUGAGCUCGCGGCCUAUCAGCUUGUUGGUGGGGUAAUGGCCUACCAAGGCGGCGACGGGUAGCCGGCCUGAGAGGGUGGACGGCCACAUUGGGACUGAGAUACGGCCCAGACUCCUACGGGAGGCAGCAGUGGGGAAUAUUGCACAAUGGGCGGAAGCCUGAUGCAGCGACGCCGCGUGGGGGAUGACGGCCUUCGGGUUGUAAACUCCUUUCGACCGCGAGGAAGCCACCUGGUUGGAAGGGUGGUGACGGUAGUGGUAGAAGAAGCACCGGCUAACUACGUG
rnacentral:rRNA from 1 species